GAGUGUGUAGUUCAGCCCGGAAGAACGCCCGGUUCGAGAUCGGGACGCCGGGGACGUGAGUCCGCGCGGCACGUCCC
rnacentral:tRNA from 1 species